rnacentral:tRNA from 1 species
AAAAGUGAAGCAAUUAUUGCAAUCAGUUUCGACCUGACCCGAGGGAAAUCCCAUUUUUA